rnacentral:rRNA from 1 species
CUGGACACAGGUGCUGCAUGGCCGUCGUCAGCUCGUGUCGUGAGAUGUUGGGUUAAGUCCCGCAACGAGCGCAACCCUUGUCAUUAGUUGCUACGAAAGGGCACUCUAAUGAGACUGCCGGUGACAAACCGGAGGAAGGUGGGGAUGACGUCAGGUCAUCAUGGCCCUUAUGGGUAGGGCUACACACGUCAUACAAUGGCCGGGACAGAGGGCUGCCAACCCGCGAGGGGGAGCUAAUCCCAGAAACCCGGUCGUAGUCCGGAUCGCAGUCUGCAACUCGACUGCGUGAAGUCGGAAUCGCUAGUAAUCGCGGAUCAGCUUGCCGCGGUGAAUACGUUCCCGGGUCUUGUACACACCGCCCGUCACACCAUGGGAGCGGGUUCUGCCAGAAGUAGUUAGCCUAACCGCAAGGGGGGCGAUUACCACGGC